GUGAAGCUGGGAAAGGCAGAAAAUAAAAGCACAGUGGACAAUUCAGGGACUUCCUCAGAAAAGCCGAGCACCCACAACCCCAGGCCGCGGCAGCUGAACACCGCCCUCGCCGGGCACAGCUUUCCCGCUGAUGAUCUUUAUGUGGAAACGACAAAGCGGGGAGCACCUGGGGGCGACCUGGAGCGCUGGCUUCCGCCCCGGUGCAGCAACUCCUUCAUCCUGUCGAGUGCGCCACGUGCAGAGGACGCCGGGGGAAAGGCCGGUCUGUGAGACGAGCCCAGCAUCUCGGCUCGGAGUCCGGGGUUCCCAGCAUUUGGGCAAAGUCGCUACCGCAGCGUGUGCCAGUGCCACGUGCGCUCACACUGCUCCCGAAGCCACGUGUGUACUCAGACGUUCACUCUCCGCAGUAAGCCUCACGUUGUCAUUACUAUUAUUCACGUACGAGGAGGUGACACACAGGGAGGGGAAGCGCCCUGGCCAGGCACAGGGGUGGUGGCGCUGGAACGUGGCUCUGAGGCGCCGCCCCGCGUACCCGUGCGCUCGGGACACCACCCAGCGGGACGGCGCCCUGGGCCUGGGACCUGUCGUAUCAGCUUACGCUGCGGUCACGACCCUGGGGGUCCUGGCUCUCCCGGCAGAGGUCCCGGGGCUGCAGCCAGAGGGUCACCACUGGCUGGUCUCAGCCGCCCUCGGCACCCCUCGCCCAGCUGGGCUGGGAGGGAGGAGGUGAAGGCCUGCGAGGCCCAGUGGGCGCCUCUCUUCAGCCCGCAGUCUGGGGGUGGCUCCCCGUCUCCCGUCCCCCUGGACCAGCAGGCUGGCGGGCAGCCUCCCUCCCAUCUCGGCAAGUGAGCACUUUUCCAGACGGGGGUCGUCAGUCUGCGAUGGGCCCACACACGGCAGGGGCAGCGGGCAGGCGCUGCCCACGCCGGAGGGAGAAGGGACGGGGUAGGACAGUCCUCACCUGGAAAAGCUGUCUGAUCCCGCAGAACGUAGCCAUGUGUGGGCCCGGGCCCCUCCGCACCGCUCACAGCCCAGACCCGCCGUGUCCUGGCUGGACUCGGACGUCACGGCUCCCACUGCCCAUCUGGGGGCCGAUGUGGUGGUUCCUGACCCACUCGGUCUUGUCUCUGCCUCCCGUGGUGACCAAAGUAAACUUAGGCGUUUUUGUCACUUCCCUGCCAGGUGCCGCAGGCUCUGCCACCUCGGGGGCCCCAAAUCUCUGAGUUCAGAGCUGCUCUGGAUGAUCAGAAAUCUCUUCACCGAGAAUGGGAUUACUUCCCACAGGCCCCAUGGCACCAGCCUGCUCAGGCCACCCCGGGAUGACGGCUUUCCAGAUGUGCCCGGUGUCUGAUCACAAAAUCGCAUCACAGCCCGACCGCCCAGUGUGACUGAGCCAACUGCACAGUACUGUUCAGGAGGCUUGUCUGGGGACGAUAUUGUUUCCUACUAACUUCUGAGCAAAGAUGGAUUCUUCCCAUAAUGCAGUCAUAAGACGUCAUAAGCAAUAACUCUGGGUUUCUUGUGUGAGUUGUACAUUAUCUGCUAAGUGGAUAGAAAGCAGUUUAGCCCGUAAUGCCUGGUAUUGUCAAGGAACACCAGGAAGCAGAGCCCCCACCUGUUCUCAGGGCUGCUGUUUCCGUGGGCUGGGAGCCCCGGCCCUCGUAGGACAGGGGGACCCAGUAUUCCCUGGUGCCCAGACUGGGACGGGGACACUGUGUCAGUCACCUGCUGCCACAAGAAUGCUGCAUCACGAGUCACCCAGACCCCUGGUGGCCUAAGCCACAGCCUUUGUCCUCAGGGGUCUGCAGACCCGAUGAGGGUCGGGUCGGGCAGGCUGACUUCGCGGGGCGGCGCUCCUGGUCUCGGGCCGCCCUCGUGAGUGGGCAGAGGGCUGGGUACUGCCUGGUAUGGGCUGAACGUGGCUGAGGGGUCUCUGUGCUUUGCGUCUCUUACCCCAGGGGCCGUGGGCCGGCCUAGGCCUCCUCCCACAACAAGCACAGGGGAUUCCGAGGGAACAGGACGCAGCAGAGGGCUCUGGCGUCCAGCUUGGAGCUGCCCCACAGCCCCUUCCCCUGCAGCUAGUGGCCAGAGCAGGCACGUGUUCAAAACUGAAGCCAGGGGAACGCGUGAGGAUGCUCGAGCAGGGGAAGAGCUGAGAACAGCAGCACGACCGCUCAUGGGCUCAACCUCAGACUUUCCACCUGGUCCCCAGAUGGGGUCAAAUCGCAGGUACCGGACAGGACUGAGCGACAAGAGGGUCAUCACAGACACUUAAAAUCCGGCUCCACCCUGAGCUGUGCCACUCCCAUCAUUCGCAAGUGUGUUUUCAUUACAGUUGACCCUUGAACAGCUCAGGUUUGAGGGACGCAAGCCGCUCGUGCAGCUGACAAUCCAUGUCUAACGUUACCUCUGCAGCCACGGUUCCACAUCCUCAGAUUCAAGCAACUUCGGACAGUGCAGUGGUGCUUAUGUACUGAAACAAAUCCGUGUAUAAGUGGCCCCACAAAAUUCAAAUUCACAUUAUUCAAAGGUCAACUGUAUACAU